rnacentral:lncRNA from 1 species
GUGCAAAGGAAAUGAAGGGAGAAGCAGAAGGAACGGAAAAAGGUUCCUAAACUGAGCUUGGAAGGAAGAGGAAAGAGCUGCAGAGGCGGAGACUCUGACCCCAAAGCGAUCGAGGGCCCUCCCCUGGCUUCCGUGUCCCUGUGGCAGGCGGUGGUGGUCGAAAUCUCUGCCCCUCAGAGUCCUGGGGAGGAUGGAUGGAACAGGAGGAGCAUCAUGAGAAGGCUUCCUGUAAACUACGGAGGGUGCUCGUGGAAGCCAGCAGAGGGUGUAGGGUCUCCUGGAGCCACAUCUCUGGAGUUACAUGAAGUUGUGGACCUCUCAACAUGGGUUCUGGGAACUGAACCCAGGUCCUCUGGAAGGACAUCGAGUGCUCUUAACCACUGAGCCAUCUCUGCAGCCUAACCCCAUCCCUUGGAGGCUGAAGCAAAGCAAGUUCAAUGACCGCGACCUGGCUCUUGUUUGGGCCUAAGGAAAAGCCGACUGUAAGCCGGGAAGCAUCUCUGGCAAGAACAAGGAAGGAUUAAGCACGUCUGUGGUUGUGCGCAGGGAUCACAAGGUGCUCCUGCAGUGGGAAGAGCCACCACUAGGGGCGCUCCAAGUCUUGUAUUUUCUACCUUGAAAACUCGUUUCCCUGUGGCUGCCCUCCAAAUCCAACGGAGAUGAAUGGCUUUUAGUUUACCUAGCUGAUUUAAUAAACUUUAAAAAUAAAUGUACGAAUG